GAAUCUUCGGCAAUGGACGAAAGUCUGACCGAGCAACGCCGCGUGAGUGAUGAAGGUUUUCGGAUCGUAAAGCUCUGUUGUUAGGGAAGAACAAGUACCGUUCGAAUAGGGCGGUACCUUGACGGUACCUAACCAGAAAGCCACGGCUAACUACGUGCCAGCAGCCGCGGUAAUACGUAGGUGGCAAGCGUUGUCCGGAAUUAUUGGGCGUAAAGCGCGCGCAGGCGGUCUCUUAAGUCUGAUGUGAAAGCCCACGGCUCAACCGUGGAGGGUCAUUGGAAACUGGGGGACUUGAGUACAGAAGAGGAGAGUGGAAUUCCACGUGUAGCGGUGAAAUGCGUAGAUAUGUGGAGGAACACCAGUGGCGAAGGCGGCUCUCUGGUCUGUAACUGACGCUGAGGCGCGAAAGCGUGGGGAGCAAACAGG
rnacentral:rRNA from 1 species